AGUCCUCUUCUUUCUGAGGAUGGUUCAGAAGAACAUCACAAUGUCCCACAGGAUGAUAAGAUUGUGAAUCCAGGCGAACAUCUGAACAAUAUUCAUCCUACAGAGACAUAUGUGAGGGGUGAUGAGCAGAAUAUAGAGGACAUUCCUACAGAUAACCGCACAGAUAUACCAUGACCUGGAUAAAUGAGAACCUUCACAGACCUAAAGUUCAUGUGGCUGCAAGGGAGUGUGUGAGACAGAUACCACCUAAUAGCAGAGACCAACAGGUCCCUUUGUACUGACCAUUUCACUAAAAAGGACCGGUGAUAGACACACAGAAAACAUUAACUUAUGAAGAUGCUGGCAUCAAGACAGAAGUGGAAAACUACAAGAGAACAGAUUGAAGGUCUAACAUCAUGAUCUACUGGUCCUUGCCCUGAGGUCUACUGUUAGAUCUGGUGUGAUCUGUUAUACAAACCACUGUCUUAGUCA